CACUCAGAGUGUGCCAGCAGCCGCGGUAAAACGUAGGUCACAAGCGUUGUCCGGAAUUACUGGGUGUAAAGGGAGCGCAGGCGGGAAGACAAGUUGGAAGUGAAAUCUAUGGGCUCAACCCAUAAACUGCUUUCAAAACUGUUUUUCUUGAGUAGUGCAGAGGUAGGCGGAAUUCCCGGUGUAGCGGUGGAAUGCGUAGAUAUCGGGAGGAACACCAGUGGCGAAGGCGGCCUACUGGGCACCAACUGACGCUGAGGCUCGAAAGUGUGGGUAGCAAACAGG
rnacentral:rRNA from 1 species